rnacentral:rRNA from 1 species
GAUCCUGGGCUCAGGAUGAACGCUAGCUACAGGCUUAACACAUGCGGAAGUCGAGGGGCAGCAUGAACUUAGCUUGCUAAGUUUGAUGGCGACCGGCGCACGGGUGAGUAACACGUAUCCAACCUUCCGUUUACUCAGGGAUAGCCUUUCGAAAGAAAGAUUAAUACCUGAUAGUAUGGUGAGAUUGCAUGAUAGCACCAUUAAAGAUUUAUUGGUAAACGAUGGGGAUGCGUUCCAUUAGG